GCUUAAAAGAGGCACCACCUGCCCUCCCUGGCCCUCAGAAAUAGGCCUCAGACCAAGUAGGGAAGACAGACAGAGAAUGCCUGUGCACAUAUGCUGUCAAGAAGGGCUCGCGGAUGCCGAGGAAAGCCCAGAGGAGACAGCAGCUGCUUUUGUUUCCUUGGAGGCAGCGCCCAGUAGGGAGUGGGUCAGACAGGAGCCAGGAAGACAAUUACUAGAAAGGCAUUCCCUGGUGUUCUAAUGAGGCAAUUAGAGCCACUGAGUUUGAGACUGUAAGAGCAGGACGGGGCUCUGAAGACCCCCCUCGCCCAACCCCCUCAUUUUACAGAAGAGGCAACUGAGGCCCAGAGAGGGAGAUCCCAGAGUGACAAUGCCAAUUAGGGCUGGGACUGGGACCCAGGUCUCCAGCCACCACAGUGCCCUGCCUCUGCCAGAAUCAAAACCCACCCGCCAGAGGACAUGCACUUGAGAAAAACACUCCGCAGAGUGGAGCUUGCCCAAGCGGAGCUUCUGCUGACAAAAACAGGGGCACAGAAGUCAGCUUGACAUUCUGCCAAGUGUGGCCCCUCCUGUCUCCUCCUCCAUGCCAAGAAGUAGACUUUAAUCAAUAAGUUUCUGAGAGGGGGCAGUGAGGAAGAGAUUGAAGGAGAAAAAGCACAGAUCUUCUCACCGUGCACAAUUUAGAAAUCAUUUCUAUGCACAAAUUCUUGUGCAGGAGUCAUGGAGAUCAAUGAACACACCCUUUAGCACUUUCUGCUGUCAGUUACAUGGCUCAUUCUCCAUUGACAGACAGAAUAGAGGAAUUCACUGGAAAGGAGAACCACUUCACAGCAACGUUUUACAAGAAGCCUGAUGGUGGGAUGGAGCCCGUCAUUCAUAUUAAUGAGACAUGCAUGGAAGUGGCAAUGAGCAUGUGGAGUGUGGCUAAAAGAAAUGUGGUUCUUCACUUGGAGCUGAUGUGAAACACAGGCAAUCUGUUGGCCUACUGAGAGGAACUUCUUUUAAAAGCCAAGAACAAGAAUACCACCCAAAGACAUCUGUUCCUCUCAUCCUUUAGUGAAGUGCAGAUGGAGAUUCCUACAUGGUUUUGUUGUCAUCAAUACCUUCAAGUGUUUCCUUCAGAAAAUCCUUUGGUGGAGAGUUUAAUACAGUAGGGAGGAAGCUUUUAGGUUUUCUCAUAAGUGUUUACCAAAAGAAGCAAGAAAAGAAUGUUCUCUCUUCUAAUAGCCAUGGCUACACUCACUGGAAUUUCUUGAAUGCAGCUUCACUUACCUGGUUUCCUCCCCAGCUGUGAAUAUGGUUCCCUGGAGACAAGGCUUUGAGAAAGCGAGUGGCCAUUUUGAAGAGGCCCACAUGGCAAAAUACUGGUGUGGCCUUCAGCCAACAGUAAGCUAGGAGCUGAGGCCCUCAGUCCCAUAGCCCUGAAGACAUGGAGUUCUGUCAAUAAACAAAUGAACUUGGAAGCAGAUCCUUCUCCUGUUGAGUCUUCAGAUGAGACCCAGCCCUUACUGACAGCCUGGAUGGCAGCUCUGUGAGAGAUCCUGAAGCAGAGGACCUAGCAAAGCCAGCAAAGUUUCUGACCCAAAGAAACUGUGAGAUGAUUUGUAUUGUCUCCAGCCACUACGUUGUAGUUAUUUGUUACACAGCAAUGGAUAACAAACACAGGAUGUUAAAGAAGUAUUUUUAUGAGACUUUCAAUAGCUAACAUUAGGAUGUAACUGUCAAAAGAAUUAACCUUGUAAUUCAAAUGUUCAUUGUGGGCUCUCACUCACCAUGGAAGCUCAUGCAAAAAUGCUGGAGAAAUUUAAAAUGUCUUAUGUGACAUCUGGUAGAAGUUUAAAAGUAUAGACAACCAUCAUUAAAAAAAAAACUCAUUGUAACUUUGUUUAAAACCUUGGCCCUAGCAUUCAAAGAUUAAAAUCUAAAAUAGGCUUGGAAUUUGGUCACUUCUUAAGGUCUAUGUCAGAUAUCUCUGUCAAAGCCCACAUAUUGUAAGAGUUGCUAAAGCUACAUACAACACUAUGGUGAGCAUUUCAUGCCUAAGUAUGAGAAUUGUAUUUGAUGCAUAUUAAUUGGUAAAAUCUAUUAGCUAGAUACUUAAUAAGAGAGAAGACUGAAGGAAUUGAGAAACCAGUGAACAGAGAUUGCUAAUUAAGAAAAAAAAAUCUGACUCUUUUAUAGGUUUACAUCUUGUAUUACUACCUAAUUGGCUCACUGUUUUGUUUUGUUUUUAUUUGGCAGUUGAAAGAGCCUGUAGACAUUUUAAAUCUCUUCAGAAUUUAUGAUUCAUUUGGUGAAACAGUAGCUGCUAGACUUGUGGAUGUUAAGAACCAGGAAAAAUGAAAAUUCAAAAACAAAAAUAGGUAGGUGAAUGAAUAGGUGAUUGAAUAUACUGCCACAGACAGUAAAGUUUAUUUUGUCAAGCUAGGACAUUAAACUAAAAAAAAAAAAUCACUGUAUGCUAUCAUCAUUAUUUUAUAGAGAAAGAACAAUUCAACCUCAACAGAAAAAUAAUAAUUUCAAAAUUAAAAAACAUAACUUUAAUUUCAAAAAAGCUUUUUUUUUUUUUUGAGAUGGAGUCUCGCUCUUUCACUCAGGCUGGACUGCAGUGGCGCUAUCUCGGCUCACUGCAAGCUCUGCCUCCCGGGUUCGCGCCAUUCUCCUGCCUCAGCCUCGUGAGUAGCUGGGACUACAGGCACCCACCACCAGGCCUGGCUAAUUUUUUGUAUUUUUAGUAGAGACGGGGUUUCACUGUGUUAGCCAGGAUGGUUU
rnacentral:lncRNA from 10 species